CCCGGCCCCAUGCACCCUCUGAAAGCCGUUCUCCCUGUGGCGGCCAGAAAUCUGCUUAUCUUUCGUUUCUUUGUUAGUCCUUUCAUUUAGUCACUGAUGUUUACUCGGCCGUGUGUGUGUGUGCGUGUGUGUGUGUGUGUGUGUGUGAGUGAGAGAGAGAGAGAGAUGGGGAGAGGUAGUCCUUGCUGCAGGCAGAAGGGGGGCAUCCAAGGUAGAGUCAGAGUCAGAGUCACUAUCCAGGUGCCUUCCCUGCACCUUGCUCUUUAAGGUGAGUGAGGACGCUGGGAGACGCCGAGGCUUAGACAGGGCUCCAUAGGCCAGAGGUGGUCAGCAACUCUGUCUCAAAGCCCACCCCCAAGCCCCUGCUCCCCUGAGCAACAUCUCUGCAGUUCUGCGAGCUUUAGCUCCUCAGGGAAGCGUCACCCUAGUUAAGUCCUGUAGGGAUGCCCUUCCUGAGAGUCCUUAGAGAAUUCUUUCUGUCUCUUCCACUAAUGGUAAGCUCAGGGGGCAUCUAGUGGGUGCCAAGCAUACAAGAGACACAGACUAAAUAUUGGCUGAAUGAACGAAUGGGUGAAUGAAGAUAGCCAUGACCCGGCAGGAAGAGGAGAGAGCAGUGGCUGGAUUGGGGCCCUGGCCAUGCCUGCAGGCCUUGCCAUCACUGGGCAGAAGGGCCUGUGGCUAAGCGGCCACCCACUCCCCCUCUGAGGAGCCCCGUUGGUCAGGGUGCUGUGCUGGGGAGCAGAUCUCUCUCGGGUUCUGGAGGGGGCACAGAGCUCUCCUUGGCAUCUGGCAGGUGCUAUCUGGUUAAGGGGGCACAGCACACACUGGCCUUGACUGUGGCCAUGUGAUACAGCAAGGACACUCGUGCCUGUGGGACCAGCCAGCAUCCAAUCAAGUAGGUCCCAUGGCCCGGUUGUGCAAAUAACCUGCAAGUGUUGCUUCCUCCGGCUGGGCCCCAGGCUACCUCCCUCCUCACUCUCACACCUUGCGCCCAGGGCUCGCUUACCAUUGAUGGACUGAUGCACUCCAUGCCUUGUCUACAGCCCGGGGCCCUCCUCCAAGUUCAGUAGCCAGUUCGGCACUUCCUGUCCCCUGUGUGCAAAUCCAAGUGUGUGACUUUUCUUCCCACACCUGUUGGCCUGCCAGUGAAAUGUGCUUCCCCCCACUGUCACCCUUAACCUCCCUUCUCUGCCCCCCCCACCCCGAUCCCAGCCCCUCCCACCACCACCACCUUAGUUUAAGCUAGCUGGCUUCAUCUUUGGCCUAGCGUGGACUCUGAUAACACCAUGGUGGACUGCUCUUCCUGGGGGAGGAGUCUAUUUCUCUGCCCCCCUGGCAGCGGAUCUGGCCAUAUGACUUGCCUGGCCCAAUGGAAUGUGAACAGAAGGGACAAGAGUGACUCCAGGCAGAAGAUUCAAGAGCCAGCACCUGGUUCUCUGAGAUGGUGGAAUGUGCCGAGAUGGAUCCAAACGAGCAAACACAGGCGAUGCCCCAGUAGCUAGACUCGGUGAGAUGUGGCAGAAGGGGAAGUGGACUCCAAGCAGGAGAAGGACUCAAUGUACCAUUACUGGUUCUGAAGAUAAGGGGGCCAGGAGCCUCAGCGGUACGACCACAAGGAACUGAAUUCUGCUAACGACCUGAAUGAACUUGGAAGAGGGUUCUUCCGUAGUUGACUUAGAGACAUCUUGACUUCAGCCAUACAAGACCCUAAGCAGAAGACCCGGUCACUUGAUGAUGGACUUCUGACUCAAAAAAACUGUGAGAUAAUAAAUCUGUGUUGUUUUAA